UUAGAUCCCCCGUGCGGCACUUGGGUGCCGAACUCCCCCAGGGCAGGAAUGCAGCAAGGGUAGGUAAUUUUUAGUGGGUGUGCGGGGGAUCCUUAUU
rnacentral:SRP_RNA from 1 species